GCGCCAUGCAUGGAUUCUGUCACUUGUGUGGUCCUGGGACAGUUGCCUGUGGAUCCCAGGGGACUCCUGUCCACCCAUUCACACAAAGAACGACUGUUCUUUAGCCCAGCAUGGUGGUGGCGCUCACCUGUAACCCCAGCACUGGGGAGGCUGGGGGAGGACCAUAACAAGUUCUAGCCCAGCCUGGGGAACUUAGCAAGACCCUGUCUCAAAAUUUUAAAAAAAGGGGGCGGGGAUGUAAUGGUGUGAAGGCCCUGGGUUUGGUCCUCAGUUCUACAAAAAAAAAAAAAAAAAAAAAAAGAAGCAGCCGAGGGUGAUGGCACACACUUGUAAUCCUAGCACUGGGGAGGCUGAGGCAGAAGGAUCACCCACCAGUUCGGGGGCAGCUAGGCUACAUAGUGAAAACACAGCCUCCACAUAGGGGCCACCUAGCCUCCCUGGGUAUGUACUUCCGGGCUGGCUUGCUGUUCCUCUUCCAGCAGGCUCGCAUGUCUGCAAAAAGGUCACCUCCUCCUGGAGUCCUUUCCUGCCGCCUAUGAACAACAGCUCCUUAGCAGCCUGACCCAUGAGCCUGGCUCUAUUGCGCUUCCAAGCACACACUGCCACCUGAUGUCCCUUUUCUGGCUGUUGUUCCUCUCCCUGAGGUCAGGGCCACCUCUGUGCAGCUCCCUGUUGCCUCCUGGAACACAGGAGAGCUCAGAAAAUGGCGAGCAGAGUAACAAAUGCGCCCGUGGGCGAACGAAGUCCUUGGGCUCCGCUUGUGCUUGUGCUCGGCCCCAGUGCUUGCUCUCCAGGCGCCUGACUUCCUGGCCCCAGAGCCGGCAGCAGCCUGGGGGGUGAGCUGGGCAGGAACCUCCUUCCUGGGAGGAGCCCAAGUGGCUUGGAGACCUCAGUCAAGGUUGCACGGGCACCUGUGACGGGGGCGGCAGCAGCUGGUUCCCAGUGCAAGGUCACUGCCAGCCAGUCCGCUCCCAAAGCACCAGCUCAGCCAGGUGUGGUGGAGGCUGAGGCAGGAGGGUUGCAAAUUCAAGCUCAGCCUGAGUAAUUCAGUGACUCAGCAAGACCGUCUCUCAAAAUAAAAAAAUGGGCUGGGGAUGUAGCUCAAGGUGAAGGCCCCGCAUUCAGUCCUCAGUACCGUAAAAACAAAUAAGAAAAAACAAAAAAACAAACCAGUUCAAGUUCUCCCAAGAAGCCUUCCCCAUAGGAAUCAACCCCUGGCCCACAGUCUCCUCAGUGGUAAAGGGAUGUGAAAAGCAAGUGAGCCUUGAUGGUUAGCCAGGCGCUUAUAAUCCAGCACUUGGGAGGCUGAGACAGGAGGAUACAAGUUCAAGGCCAGCCUGGGUAAUUCAGUGAGAGCCUAUCUCCAAAUAAAACAGAAAGCAGGGCUGGGGCUGAGCUCAGUUGCAGAGCUCUUGCCUAAUGUGUGUGAGGCCCUAGAUUCCAUCUGCAGCACCGAUAGCUGCCACCAGCGAAUAAAGAUGGUGAACGCCACAGUACUCCUCUGAGGCCACCCUGCUCACAAGCACACAGACCUGCAGUGAGUCACCCAAGCCGCACAGCUGAAGGGCAGGGCUGUCCAGGUGCCUUGCUCCUGGUGCACCCAGAAAGAACUGGGGAGCAAUACUCAGCCUAUCUGCCCAGCCCUAGGCCUGUCUUCUCUGGGUUGCCUUCCUGGCCUAACUCUGUCCACCUCAGCUGUCCCUAGGCCCUACGGGUGCUGCUGUCCCCACACCUCCCUGGUAGGGCUUGAGUGUCCUGGAUACCCUGUCCCACCCAGGUCAGGAGUGCCUGCGCCAUUCACACCCGUAUCUCGGGACCCUGGCACCUUCCUCCCCGGGGUCUUUGUUUCUUUUUCUGAGAAAGGAACUGCCAGACCCUGCCCUGAGCUGGUUAGUAAAGGGCCUGCAGACCACAGCUGGAUGUGGUAGGGCACACCUGUGAUCCUGCCACUGAGGAGGCUGAGGCAGGAGGAUCCCUUCAAGUUUGAGGUCAGCCUGGGCUGCAAACUGAGACCCUGUCUCAAAAGGACCUAACCAAUCUGUAAAUAAAAGCCAGGUGCUCCAUACAGAGGAUGCGCAUGUCUCUGGGGGAGGUGCAGCCGCCCCUCUUCCUGUGGUUGAUGGGGCCAUGGUGGGCGGAAGUGCAGCUUAUCCCACCUGGGUAUUUCCUUUGUGCCCUUGCCUCAGCUGCCCUGUCGGGGGCAGAGGUCCCCAAGGCCCAGAGCUGAGCUGAGGAGUGCAGGGUGUCACCAGGCCGAAGUGGUUUCCAGCCCAGGCCGGGGCGCGGUGCGGCAGAGUGACAAGGGAAGCAGCAGAAGAGGAACCCACUUUUACCAGCUGCGGGGCCCACCCACCUGCGCUUCCUCCUGAGACAGGAGGUGCCGGGAGCCUUGCCCUGAGCCCAGAGACCAUGAUGGGACCCUGGCCUCACCUCACCCCUCACUCCUCCACCUUUCUGGUUCCUUGUUUGAGCUGCUCCUUCACCCCCCUUUUCCGCCUGUCAUCAGGCUGGGAGGGGACCCAGUGCUCCCACAAGGCCCCAGGCCCAGGCUAGGUCUGCGGGUGUCUGAAGCCCUCGCCCCAGCCUGGGCCUCACCACAGCUUCCGGCCUCUGAGGACCUGACAGGGCGAAGGCGAGGCUGUGGCAUGAUGGGUGCUUGGGCCCGGCUCCCUCCGCUUCUGCGCUGAGCCCACGGCAGGCACUGUGGUGUCUGCAACGGCUUCCGCAGGAAGGUGACCACGACGUGCAGACUGCCCUUGGUGACAAGGGCCUGGGGCUGGUCAGGGCUGUCCUGAACCUCCACGGUCCCAUAGCUUGACUCACUGCUGACGGCCUAGGCCAUCCUGUGCUAGAACCUUCUACGCCCCCGGCUGGCUCCUCUCUGGCCUGGCUCUUGCCCUCAUUGCCCUGGCCUCUGCCUCUCUCUUAAGAGGGUCACCUGGCCCUCCUCCCACCCUGAUGUGUCACUCACUCAUCCCACAGUCGCUUCUAGCUGCACUCUCUGACACGCACCGGGGCGACCCAGUAACCACCCCAAGUCGCCUGCUGAUGGGGUUUCCUAGGUCUAGGGCGUCCCCAGUCACCAUCUUGAUUGGGAAGCUACUCAAUACCGGGCUCACAGGAACUGUGUAGGGUGGCCUCGAGAGGAUCCCUGCUGGGAAACUGGUGCCCCUUGAAGCUGGGCUGAGGGCCAGCACAGAGCCCUGAGUGUCCUGAGUGACAGAAGCACUUAAAAGCAUCACAAGUGUGCACCCCUGUAAGCCCCGCACUCAGGAGCUGAGGCAGGCGGGUCAAGGGCAACCUGAACUACAUGGCCAGAUGCUGUCUCAAAAACACCCUAAGCCAAUAAAUAAAUAAACAAACAAACAAACAGUGAGUCACAAAGAGCACUGGUCAUAGCCCAGUGGUAGAGUGCUUGUCUAGCAUAUGUUUGGGCCCACGUCAGAUCCCUAGCGCCAUAAAAGCAAAGGAAAACAAAAAAUCACUACGACACCUCCGAGGCCCCUGGAGAGCCAGUCCUGUCUCAAGUGCUGUAAUCUGAUUUAAUCCUCAUGACGAUUUUAGGCCUGAUGAGAACACUGAGGCCUGGGUGUCCCCAGUGAUACCUCCGGCCUGUUCCCAAACAAGGUGCUCUAAGGAGCUGACAGAGGAGAGGACCUGGGACAGACCCCCAGAGCUGCUGCUUAUGAAGGAAGACACUGCCUGGAGGGACAGAGGGAUCUGAGGACAGAAGCAGGACAAGGAGAGUGAAAAUAAAAGUGUCCCCAAGGACUUUUACUUCCGAGGGGACUGGCCACGCCUCGGGAAUUCCUGGGCAGCCCUGGGCUCUCCCUGCUCACCUGGGGCUGCAGGCUGUGCUCUGGGGCAGCCCAGUGGGUCCCCACCCCCAGGGGGAUCAUGGGAGGCCACUGGAGGGGGGGGGACCCCGACAUCGGGCCUGCUCAGGCCAGGACAGCAGUGAGAGCCCCGUUGGGAGCCCAGGGAGAGGAGGUCUGGAUUUUGGCCCAUCCAGGUGAGUGGAGAUUGACUCACACGUGCUGGCUGGGCUGUCUGGGGAAGGGACACCCGGAGUCUUGGUUCCACCCAGGUCACUAAACAUUGAGUCACAGAGCCGAGUGAGGCUCCGCUUGGGGAUUCUGACCUUUGUUCCCAAUGUGGUGAUGCCCAGAAGGGAAACCAGGUCCUUCUCCUGUUUCUCCCACCCUUACCACACCGUUCUCAUGACUGAAAUGAUUGCCACACUGGCCUAACUCCGAUUGGUGACAAGCUCCAGGUGGAUGUAGAACCUUAUUUUGGGUGUUUUCCAACUCUCUGUCACUUCCUCCCUUCAUUUUCUUUUUUGGUACUGGGGAUCAAACUCGGGACCUUGCGCUUGUGAGGCAGGCGGCAGAACCACUGAGCUAAAUUCCCAACCCUCGCUUUCUUUUUUACUCUUUUUGUAGCAAGAGCUCACCAUGUAGCUAUGUAGCCCAGUCUGGCCUUGAACUUGUGGCAAUCAUCCUGCCUCAGCCUCCCAAGCACUAGGAUCACAGGCAUGCACUACCAAGCCUGGGUUUCUCCAUUUAUCUUCUACAGUUGUCUAGUUUCCUUCGAGGAAACCAAGUCUAACUGCAGCUAUGGAAUUCCACAUCCCUGACCUGAAAUCCAUGGGACUCCAGAAGCCUGGGGCACAGAAUCGGCAUCCACAGGAUGUAUCUGCGUGGUACCCGAGAAGAUGCAAACUUGUGGGGGCGGUGUCUGCCGCCCACGCCAGGCCUUCUCUCCGUGUUGUGCAGGCCGGCGCUGGGGGACAGGGUUCUGAUUCCCUACCCUCCUCCCGCCUCCCCGGGCCGCCGCUCGGGACGUGGCGCCCUCUGCCGGAUGAUCGAAGCCUGGCCCCAAACCACUAACCACGUGGGUAGCGGCAUCCUUGAGUCGGGGCCGGAGGCAGGAAUUUAGCGAGACACCAUCGGGGAGGGGUAGGGAGAUCAGCUGGUCCGCUGGUCCCCUGCACGCGCCCUGGGGGUAAUGGUAAUCCCACCCCGCCCUGAAAUUCCAGGCCUGCGACUUUUAUCUUAGGAGCACACCCUCCCCAACAGCUCCUGGUUUCGCUCACUCCAUGCAGGGAGUUGCUGAGCUCACUCGUGGUCCUGUCCCCUCCGGUACCCCGGGCUGACUGUCCCCUGCCCAGGUGGUGGCAGAGGGAUCCCUGGAGCCUAGGCGCAGCAGCAGGUGCAAGACGAAGUGUGGCCGCCAGAGAGCAGCAGUGACCGCCCGCGGAAACCCAUAGACAACAGCCGAUCUGGAAGGAGGCCAGGUUCUUAGGUGGGCACCCUCUCCUGUCGCUGGAUGGAGGAUCUUCUAGGUCAAGGGCUCCAUCGAUAAAUAAAUACACAUCCA